rnacentral:rRNA from 1 species
CCUACGGGAGGCAGCAGUGGGGAAUAUUGGACAAUGGGGGCAACCCUGAUCCAUCCAUGCCGCGUGUGUGAAGAAGGCCCUCGGGUUGUAAAGCACUUUCAGUGAGGAAGAACGCCUGGUGGUUAAUACCCAUCAGGAAAGACAUCACUCACAGAAGAAGCACCGGCUAACUCCGUGCCAGCAGCCGCGGUAAUACGGAGGGUGCGAGCGUUAAUCGGAAUUACUGGGCGUAAAGCGCGCGUAGGUGGCUUGAUAAGCCGGUUGUGAAAGCCCCGGGCUCAACCUGGGAACGGCAUCCGGAACUGUCAAGCUAGAGUGCAGGAGAGGAAGGUAGAAUUCCCGGUGUAGCGGUGAAAUGCGUAGAGAUCGGGAGGAAUACCAGUGGCGAAGGCGGCCUUCUGGACUGACACUGACACUGAGGUGCGAAAGCGUGGGUAGCAAACAGGAUUAGAUACCCCAGUAGUC